UGCGCAGGCGGCAUCGCAAGUCAGGCGUGAAAUCCCCGGGCUUAACCUGGGAAUGGCGCUCGAAACUACGGUGCUGGAGUAUGGCAGAGGGAGGUGGAAUUCCACGUGUAGCGGUGAAAUGCGUAGAGAUGUGGAGGAACACCGAUGGCGAAGGCAGCCUCCUGGGCCAAUACUGACGCUCAUGCACGAAAGCGUGGGGAGCAAACA
rnacentral:rRNA from 1 species